ACAGAGUACUAGCCCCAUUAUGGCACUUCUCAGCAUCCAGCACCUACUUAUGGUCUCAGUAUUCCAUGAUCUGUGCCUUCUACACAGGUCUGUCUAGCUUUAUUGUGUAGGAAAGGAAAGAAAUUCAAAACAUAGUGCUUUCAUUCUAAAGAUAUUUCAACAUUACUCUGAAAGUACUUUCUGUUUAAAAAAAUAUCUGCUUUUAAACUUAGUAAUUUAAUAUUCAGCUUUAAAACACUCCUAAAGUUCCCCAGUAUCAUCCAACGCAUACUUGCAAAUCAUUUCACUUUCAGUAAUAAAAGAGCAAAAAGUGAUGUUUAUUUUUAAAAAGGGGGGAAACAACUUUAGUGCAAUUUUUCUUCUAUUCCUUGCCACCUCCUAUAUCUCUCGCCGCAGGGGUAUUUUAUUCCCCUGUUUUGAUACUUGGACUAAAGGUUGUGCCACUCAUGUGCUGGGGCCUGCUUCUGGGAAGUGAUCACGAGCUGCGCCUGCCUUCAGGAGCUCCCGGGCAAGGAAGCAUGACGUCGCGGCUGCAGACCGCACGCCAGGCAGCCAGCGGACUCGAUACGGGGGCAGAGGGCGGCAGGGACUGCCGGGCGCCAACACCUCCCCCAGCUGCGGCUGAAGCCGCACCCGCGACUCUUCCUCGAGAAAGUGCUUCCUCACGCCGCCUCUCAAGGAUUGUGAGGAGUAGGGAAGGACAGACAGGCACUGCGCAGAUGCGGGGAUAAUACCACCAGCGACCGGCCGACGCCGAGGCACGCAAGCUUGGGCUUCCCCCUCACUUCAGCUCCACGGCCCCUACCCGCGUCAAGAACCACAACACAGAGGGGGUGAGAAGAGACAAGCACGCGUCUGUCUGACACGCACGCCACUUAGAGCGCAGCGGCCACCACCAUCUUAUACAAGCAGUAAAGCUGGCCGCAAUUGGCUCUCAGAGACGUAGUCUGAUGCAGCGGCUGUCUCUCUCCCGUCGGUGGAUGGUCGCCAUCUUGGUUUCGUCGUUUCUAUGGAACUAGUGGUGGAUUUCGCCUUCGUAACCCGAUGAGGUGGGGAUCUCCGUUUCCUCUGCCGCCGGGCGAGGGCAGUGGUGCUGCUUAGGGCGAUGUUUGCUUGCUUUUUUGGGGGAGUGAGGACCCUUUCUUUAAUAAGGUGAAGCGUUUCUCCUGCCCUGCUCACCUUCUAGAGUGAGAGAAAUAGUAUUGCCGUCCCUAUGUUAAGCCAUCAGGACUUGGGGGGUGAGCAGCAAACCUUUCUGCCUGCAGGAAUUAUGACUCUCUUAAGACAGGACCAUAGUUACUAGCUGGGUAGAGCUGCAUAGGUCACACCUUGUGGUCCUGUUGGAAUGCCUUCAUGGUAAUCAAGUUGACCUCUGCCCCGGUGAGACAGUGUUCUAGUUACUUCCUCCCUAUCAUCUGGCUUCACUAACAAUAAUCCUGGAUGAUGUGGAAUCCCUGAGAUGCAGCAUCCCACUUGACAAGGUGCACAUGGUGUUCAAGUUGAGAUGAGAAUUGCCCUGAACAUUCAAGAGCCUUGGUUUUUUUCUAUCAGUUGGCCAAGCGGACAACUUGGCAUUCCAAGCCAUGAUCACAGUGAAAGACAUCUUGGUUUGAGGGAUCUUAUUAAAAUAUAUCUCAGCUAUUCCCAAUUAAUAGAACUGUUUAAUCUUUGGUUGGUCUCUGGUAUCAUCCCAGACAUGGUGAGAGGCUGUGGACCAUCAUAUUAUCACCCUGAUUGCAAACAUAUAUGAUAAUAUCAAUGCAUAUAUUGACCCAAGGAAUGAGCAGUUGGAUCCCAUCAGGAUUCAGAUUGGGAAUUGGUGAUCCGAUGUCUCUGAUUCUAUUUAACCUAGCUGUGGACCCUCUGCUGUGGAAACUUGAAGAGGAGGGAUGUGAUUACCAACACUGUGUGAAAAAUUUAACAUCCGUGGCCUUUGCAGAUGCCCUUGUUUUGUUGAGUGGAUCAUGAGAGGGAAUGAAGAGAAAUAUUGAAAUCUUAGAGGCUUUUUGUGAUCUUACAGGCCUUGGGAUGCAAGGGGAGAAGUGCCAUGACAUCUAUAUCAAGCCUAGCAGGGAUUCAUAUACCAUCAGUGACUGUCCACUGGGAACAAUUAACGGCAUGCCCCUCAAUAUGAUUGAUCCAGUUACCAAAUUGAGAAAUACAUGGGAUUUUGCAUUGAUCCAUGGGUCAGAAUAUCAAAACCAGACUUACUAGGAAAACUGGAAGAUGGGCUACAUCAGAUUGAAAAGGCUCUUUUAAAACCAUUUCAGAAGGCAGACAUCUUGAAAGGAUAUACUAUCCCCAGAUUGUUUUAUUUGGCAAACCAGGCUGAUGUGAAAGCCAUGGACUUUAAGUCUUUUGGCAAUUAGAUCUGCCAUCAAGGACUGGUUGCAUUUACCUUCAAGUAUAUGUGAUGCCAUCCUUUAUUCCAGCACAGGAGAUGGUGGCCUAGGUAUUACCAGACUAUCAGGACUAAUCCUCAGUAUACAAGCCUGAAGACUGUACAGGAUCACACAGUCUUCAGAUGAAACAAUAAGUGUAAUUAUGAAGGAAGAGGAAAUUUAGAGAGAAUUUGAAAAACUAUGGAUAACAGCAGGCGGUGACAAAGUUCCAUCACUGGUGAAGAGGAACCAGUCUCGAAAUGGGAGACAUCCACCUCAAAAACCAUUUAUCUGAUGUGAGAUAUGAAAGUAAAUCAACAUUUUUGGAAGAUGUGGUGGCAAAAAUAGUAAAGAAGUGCUAACACCUUAGCGAUCAAGAAUUGAUAAAUGCCGCAAAUAUUACAUUUAUGGUUUUCCCCCUGGGUGCACAUGGGAAGUGGUUUCAGGGCAAUUACCAGUUAUCAAUGGGUCUCGAUCUUUCCAGCUCCCAGCUGAAAAAGACUGCUCACACCUUAUUGAAUAGGGUACUUUUUACCUCUAUUGAUAUUGUACAUAUAUUUGCUAGCAAGUUGUGAACUAUUGCAACAUCUUAACUGUAUGGGUCUUUUAAACUAUGAAAUAAAAACUGACUGUGGAUCAUUAAGCAAUGUCACUAUGGAUGCUAUGGCUGCCACAACCCAGUUUUCUAUUAGGGGCCAGUAGUAUGUAGGAACACUAACGGGCUUGUGAUCAUGGCGCAUCAUCAAAACUACCAAUUAAGACAAAAUUCACUGGUCUUGACUCAGGUAGAUGG